GUUAAUAGCUUCUGAGCAAUUUAUCUUAAGGCUGCUUGACUCAUUUUAGAUUUUAUUACUUAACAGCCUUGUCCCGUCCUUCUUUAAACAAUGAGCUUACUAUAAUUUAAAAUGCUAAAUGCAUCAAACCUCCUUGAUAAUAAUUUACUCUCAGUAGAUUUCAUUUUGAACUCCACACUUCAAAAUAACUUUUGAUUAAGUUCUUUAGCAAUGUUUCAGUGCAUAACCAAACUGAAGUCAAAGCAUUUCCCUAUACUCCUCUCACACUUGUCUAAAGUAGAAUAGAACCUCCAAUUUAGUCUUCUUUUAGCUCAAAAUUUUGCUAUAUACCUGAUUAAAUUCCAUCAACACCAUUCCAAUUUAGUAUUUGUAAAGUUAUUUCCUCUUUUGCAAAAUACCAAUUUCUUGGUACUUGUAUUAUUAAACCCCAUGCACAGAUUAACCACUUUAAAAACUUCUUGUGUGUCAUAUGAUUUCUUAUUGCUAGUUCUGACAGCACAUGCAUUAAAAUAACAUCCUAUUUGAAAAAAUCCCAAGUUUAAAUUCUAGAAUAAAUUCUUCUCAACAACAUAACAACCUUUUCUGGAUGACUUUUACAUCUAUAAAGUAGCCAAUACAAUUUCUGUCCUUAUAGAAUAAACAUUCCUCUCUGUGUCAGGCUGGCUAUCAAUAACAUUUAGACAAUUCUCAACUUCAUUGAAACCAUUAUGCAUUGCAAGGUCUAACAAAACAAACCUCUAACCAUGAGUUUUGUGCUCAAUAAGAUCUGGCUAACAUUUCACAUUUAACUAACAACCAGUAACCACAAUACAUGAAAUUAAAUUUGUACCAUAUCAAAAUCAUUAGCAAUCCUCCCAAGUUGCAUACAUCAACCCUUAGAAUCAAUUUUAAGUGAAAAUUGCUAGAUGUGGAGUAAAAACCUCCCUUUUCUGCUCUGAAUCUUUCUUUCUCUUUUUCACUCUUUUGGGGGCCCAACCAAAGGAAGAAAGAGGAAAAAAAUCAUUGAACAGGUCAUUGUUUUUGUCCUCUAUUAAGGAUUUUUCACUGUGGGAAGUUUAAGCUUGCAACUCCUACCUUUUUACAUAGAGAUGAGACUGUGACAAAGACAAUGACAAACAGAAACAUACAACUUUGUGGCAAGCAUGCUUUGAGAGGAAACCCAUAGGACAUACUCUCUCACACAUUCACACACCGUUGAACCCAAAGGUUACCCAGAAGUCACUGAAAUAUGUCUCUUUAAUGACCUGGCUGAGGGACUAAAGCUGCGUCCAGGAACCCAACAGCCUCCACUGAAUCUGGAUUUAUAGAACAGAAUAGAACUCCAUGGCAAAACGGUACACCAGGGAAAAACAGAACUCUAGGGCCCAAACAGAACUUCAAGACAGAAUCUUCAAGCAAACAGACUUCUAGAGUAAGACAGGCCCUGGGGCAAAACAAAACAGGACUCCAGAGAAACAGAAUUAACUUACAGAACAGAACAGAAUAGAUGGUUCCAAAAUCAGCCUAAAUUUUGCUCUAAAUCUCAAAUGCCAGAACCAGGGGCGGGCUCCGGAGAGGACACCAUUCACUUCUGUCGAUUUCUGACCCAAUCCCUCCUGGAAUUGGGAACUGCAUACUCUCCAAGUCCGCACUCAGAAACACCCCCGAAGGGGACAAAGGUUCAAGUCUCCUUCACAGGCUCUGGCUUAGCAAAAGCUGUCCAAGUAGGCUUUGGGUUACUACCCAAGCCGUUUAGUCGUAUGCCACGGGCCUAGAGAACUCUCCCACACACAAGCACACACACACACACACACACACACACACACACGCACACACACACACAGGCACUCUUACAGCAGCCCUCUCCGAAGUCCUUACCUCCUGGUCCUUGGGCUCGAGAUCUUGCUGGGCGUCUCCAACUGAAGUGGUGCACUUCACAAGUUUAAAUCUUGUCCAGAAAGGGAAAUGAAAUUAAUCAGUAUUUCCUAACUGAUGUCAGGAUGAAUUGGCCUUUCUUGACAUGUGAAGACUUGUUAGCAUGUAACUGCAUAUGGAAUGUAACUUCUCACCUGAGGACUGCUUUACUGUAUCUGAGAAAUUUUGGUAUUUUUAGUGAAACUGAGCAAAUGAAGGAAGUGAAAGUGGCCAAUUCAAGUAGCUAUUAUCAGAAAUAGAUAUAAUGUAAGGUUAUCAGCAUCAAAUUUGUUUCAUAAACUGAGUGUGGCAGGACACCUUUACCAAUUGUUCUAAAGAAUUUGCUAUUAAAAUUAAAUGAUUCUUAAAUGUUUUAAAUUCA